rnacentral:tRNA from 1 species
GCGGGAUUAGUUAAACGGUUUAAUGUCUGCUUUCCAAGCAGAGGAAACGGGUUCGACUCCCGUAUCCCGCU